UAUAGGUUUUCUUGGUAUUGGAGAGCAC
rnacentral:sRNA from 1 species